rnacentral:rRNA from 1 species
GGUUUUGGAUCGGCUCGAUUGAACGCUGGCGGGAUGCUUUACGCGGCGUGUCGAACGGCAGCACGGACUUCGGUCUGGCAGGCAGAAAUCGGUGAGAACAUCGAACGCUCAGUAGCGGGGAUAACUACGCGAAAAGCGUAGCUAAUACCGCAUACGCCCUUCGGGGAAAGCGGGGGGACCUUCGGCCUGCACUAUUAGAGCGGCCGAUAUCGGAUUAGCUAGCUGGUGGGGUAACGGCUCACCGGCAGCGACGAUCCGUAGCCGGUUUGAGAGGAGGACGACCAGCCGCCACUGACUGAGAGCGACGGGCCCAGACUCCUACGGGAGGCAGCAGUGGGGAAUUUUGGAUAAUGGGGAACCUGACCAGCCAUCCUGUAAAGGAUGAAGGCCUUCGGGUUGUAAAGUAAUUUUUGGGCAGGAAAGAAACGCGCAUGGGAGAAUACCCUGUGCAACUGAUUGUACUCGCAGAAUAAGCACCGGCUAAUUCAAUGCGCCAGCAGCCGCGUAAUACGUAGGCGCAGGUAAGUUAAUCGCCGGAAUUACUGGGCGCAAAGCGUGCAGGCGGUUCAAAGAAAGAUGAAACCAGAGCUUAACUUUGGAACUGCAUUUCCAAUUACCGAGCUUAGAGUGGGUUAGAGGGAGGUGGAAUUCCGCGUGUAGCAGCAAAUGUUGUGGAUAUGCGGAGAACACGACGGCGAAGGCAGCCUCCGGGAUAAUGACACUGACGCUCGCAUUGAGCGUGGCAAACAGGACGAUGCUCUCGGUAGUCCACGCCUCAAACGAUGUCAACUAGCUGUUGGGGCCUUCAAAUUUUGUAGCAGCGUAAUGUGAAGUUGACCGUCAGAGUACGGUCGCAAGAUUAAAACUCCGCUGAAAUUAUUUGGACCCGUGUUGUGAUGAUGUGGGACGACCGAUGCAACGCGAAAAACCUUACCUACCCUUGACAUGUCUGGAAUCCCGAAGGCGAUUUGAGCUUUGAGAACCGGAACACAGGUGCUGCAUGGCUGUCGCCGUGGUCGUGAGAUGUUAAGCGCGUCCCGCAACGAAGGCAACUCCUUUGUCAUUAGUUGCUACGAAAGGGCACUCUAAUGAGACUGCCGGUGACAAACUGGAGGAAGGUGGGGGAUGACGUCAAGUCCUCAUGGCCCUUAUGGGUAGGGCUUCACACGUCGCUAUCGGUUUCGGCCGAGGCAGUCGCCAACCCGCGAGGGGGAGCCAAUCCCAGAAACCUUCGAUCGAUUCGACCAGGUCUGCAACUGAUCUGCGGAAGUCGGAAUCUUGGGAUCAGUGACCAGCAGGUCGUAGGUGAAUGACGUUCCCCGGUCUUGUACACACCGCCCGUCACACCGAGCGUAGAGUGGGUUUUACCAGAAGUAGUUAGCUCAACCGUAAGGAGGCGAUUACCAUUGCAGAUUCAUGAUCGGGGCAAGUCGUAACAGCGUAACCCCGAAAGAUGAAUGAUGCCUCA